rnacentral:tRNA from 1 species
UCCCAUGUGGCUCAGCUUGUAGAGCAUGGUGUUUGCAACGCCAGGGUUGUGGGUUAGAUUCCCACGGGGGAC